UGUGAGAGCGAGCUUGCUCGCGAUUGCGGUGUGUCAGAUAACAUUGAUGCGUCUGAUAGACCGCUGUCGCGAGCAAGCUCGCUCCCACA
rnacentral:misc_RNA from 1 species